GACGAACGCUGGCGGCGUGCUUAACACAUGCAAGUCGAACGGAAAGGCCCUGCUUUUGUGGGGUGCUCGAGUGGCGAACGGGUGAGUAACACGUGAGUAACCUGCCCUUGACUUUGGGAUAACUUCAGGAAACUGGGGCUAAUACCGGAUAGGAGCCCCUGCUGCAUGGUGGGGGUUGGAAAGUUUCGGCGGUUGGGGAUGGACUCGCGGCUUAUCAGCUUGUUGGUGGGGUAGUGGCUUACCAAGGCUUUGACGGGUAGCCGGCCUGAGAGGGUGACCGGCCACAUUGGGACUGAGAUACGGCCCAGACUCCUACGGGAGGCAGCAGUGGGGAAUAUUGCACAAUGGGCGGAAGCCUGAUGCAGCAACGCCGCGUGCGGGAUGACGGCCUUCGGGUUGUAAACCGCUUUCGCCUGUGACGAAGCGUGAGUGACGGUAAUGGGGAAAGAAGCACCGGCUAACUACGU
rnacentral:rRNA from 1 species